UACUAGCUAGAUAGAUCUCUCAGUCCUGCCUACAUAAUUUUAUCCAAGUAAUGAAUAUUUUUUCUACUUGAUUGCUUUAUUUUAAAUUGUUUACUUUGAUUGUUUUUGACUCAAUUUGGCUUCCUCAAGAACAACAUAGCUGCUCGUAUGAUGAAAAACCGAUCUUAGCCCACUUGGGCGCCCUCUAUUUAAAUAGUUCAACUACUUGAGGACUUUAGCGAAAAAGGUUAAAAUUAUGGAACUAUCAAAGAGAGCCUGACCCGAUUCAAGUUCGGUUAUCGCUACUAUCGACGAUACUACGAGUGGUGCGCGCCAAAUAUAAAUUUUUGAGAGUGAAUGAGCGAAAAGGAUUUAAAUGCAGUCUAUUUGAAUAUAUGUAUGAUGUAUAUGAAUUUUUCCAAAUUGGUUAAAGAGGACAAGACUUUCUUGAACUGCGGCGCCUAAACCAAAAAUCAAAAACCAAAGGGCAUUUAGCUGGACUAGACACAAUUUCGGUGAAAAAACUUCUAUGAAAAUCCCAGCGCCAACUGUAAGAACAAGUCCGAAAGCGAAAAGAGACUGCGGGAAUCGCUACUGAGAUCGUUUCUUUCGAUUCCGACAGGGAGAUUAUCAGCGUAUUUAUCCGACAGCCGCCCAACCAUUAAAAGGAGGCGCUCUGUUUUUGGUAAAAACACAACCUUAUAUAUGUGUAUAUUUAAUAAGCGUUAUGUUUUUCCUUUUAUUUGACUUAAGGCUAAUAUCAAAUAUGUUGAAAGGUUUUGCUAAAUAAAUACUGAAACGUGUAUACAAAAUGUAUAAAAGAAAAA